rnacentral:rRNA from 1 species
UACCGGAUAGGAGCGUCCACCGCAUGGUGGGUGUUGGAAAGAUUUAUCGGUUUUGGAUGGACUCGCGGCCUAUCAGCUUGUUGGUGAGGUAAUGGCUCACCAAGGCGCCGACGGGUAGCCGGCCUGAGAGGGUGACCGGCCACACUGGGACUGAGACACGGCCCAGACUCCUACGGGAGGCAGCAGUGGGGAAUAUUGCACAAUGGGCGCAAGCCGAUGCAGCGACGCCGCGUGAGGAGAUGACGGCCUUCGGGUUGUAAACCUCUUUCAGUAGGGAAGAAGCGAAAGUGACGGUACCUGCAGAAGCAAGCACCGGCUAACUACGUGCCAGCAGCCGCGGUAAUACGUAGGGUGCGAGCGUUAUCCGGAAUUAUUGGGCGUAAAGAGCUCGUAGGCGGUUUGUCGCGUCUGUCGUGAAAUCCGGGGCUUAACCCCGGAUCUGCGGUGGGUACGGGCAGACUAGAGUGCAGUAGGGGAGACUGGAAUUCCUGGUGUAGCGGUGGAAUGCGCAGAUAUCAGGAGGAACACCGAUGGCGAAGGCAGGUCUCUGGGCUGUAACUGACGCUGAGGAGCGAAAGCAUGGGGAGCGAACAGUAUUAGAUACCCUGGUAGUCCAUGCCGUAAACGUUGGGCACUAGGUGUGGGGACCAUUCCACGGUUUCCGCGCCGCAGCUAACGCAUAAGUGCCCCGCCUGGGGAGUACGGCCGCAAGGCUAAAACUCAAAGGAAUUGACGGGGGCCCGCACAAGCGGCGGAGCAUGCGGAUUAAUUCGAUGCAACGCGAAGAACCUUACCAAGGCUUGACAUGUUCUCGUCGCCGUAGAGAUACGGUUUCCCCUUAUGGGGCGGGUUCACAGGUGGUGCAAUGGUUGUCGUCAGCUCGUGUCGUGAGAUGUUGGGUUAAGUCCCGCAACGAGCGCAACCCUCGUUCCAUGUUGCCAGCACGUAGUGGUGGGGACUCAUGGGAGACUCCCGGGGUCAACUCGGAAGGAAGGUGAGGACGACGUCAAAUCAUCAUGCCCCUUAUGUCUUGGGCUUCACGCAUGCUACAAUGGCCGGUACAAUGGGUUGCGAUACUGUGAGGUGGAGCUAAACCCAAAAAGCCGGUCUCAGUUCGGAUUGGGGUCUGCAACUCGACCCCAUGAAGUCGGAGUCGCUAGUAAUCGCAGAUCAGCAACGCUGCGGUGAAUACGUUCCCGGGCCUUGUACACACCGCCCGUCAAGUCACGAAAGUCGGUAACACCCGAAGCCGGUGGCCUAACCCUUGUGGGGGGAGCCGUCGAA